rnacentral:pre_miRNA from 7 species
AUUAAAGGACCACUGUAAGACCCUCUUUCGGGGACCCCCACUCUAGUCUCAGGAGUGUGAGAGCACCCAAAGAAACAUGAGGACCC